rnacentral:rRNA from 1 species
AAUAGAUACCCAGGUAGUCCACGCCGUAAACGAUGAGUGCUAGGUGUUGGGGGCAUCACGUCCUCAGUGCCGAAGGAAACCCAAUAAGCACUCCGCCUGGGGAGUACGGCCGCAAGGCUGAAACUCAAAGGAAUUGACGGGGGCCCGCACAAGCGGUGGAGCAUGUGGUUUAAUUCGAAGCAACGCGAAGAACCUUACCAAGGCUUAACAUCCCGCUGAUCCCUCUAGAGAUAGAGGUUCCCUUCGGGGCAAUGGUGACAGGUGGUGCAUGGUUGUCGUCAGCUCGUGUCGUGAGAUGUUGGGUUCAGUCCCGCAACGAGCGCAACCCUUAUCCUUAGUUGCCAGCAGGUAAAGCUGGGCUCUCUAAGGAGACAGCCGGUGAAAGCCGGAGGAAGGUGGGGAUGACGUCAAAUCAUCAUGCCCCUUACGUCUUGGGCUACACACGUACUACAAUGGAUGGUACAAAGGGAAGCGAGCCCGCGAGGUGGAGCAAAUCCCAGAAAGCCAUUCUCAGUUCGGAUUGUAGG